GCAUCUAAGAACCAUACUACCAGCAGAUCAUGCUCUCCCUGAGCAACAGCAGCACCCCCUCCAUCCCCUCUCCAGCCAACUUCCUGGGUCUAUGCAAGGGACCACCUGCCUUCAGAAAAGGAUUCAGGCCUUGGUGCUAUGCUGAAGAUUACAUGUGGCCUUCUGUGACAUGUGGAAAGAAACUGGGGACCUUCUGUUUCCCAUCUAGUCUUCAGAUUCUGAAGCAAACAGAAUGUUAUCUGACUGACACAAAGCAGAGCUACGUUUUGACAGAAGUCACCUGCAUCUUGUUAAUAUAUUCAUGUACACACGUUCAGGCCAGUUCUGUCUCAAAUGAAUUAAAUUCCUGGAGUCCCACUGAUGACAUGAAGAAGGAAAAUGACCUGAAAUCACAUGUUGAACAGUUCCAAAUAGAGAAAACUGGAUGUAUCCAUCUGGGAGAAAGGAGAGCAAAACAAAGUCUGUUGGUAGAAGUCUCAAAUAUUAUGGUGUGUUAAUGAUCAUAAAAGCAUUAACAACUCUGAUUCCUUCUGUUGUAUCAGAGCUUUGCACAUUUGAAAUCAAAAUUCAUUAGUAGGAAGAAAUUGAGAGUUAUUAUAUUAGAUUAUCAAGUUAAGUAGGUUAAGAAAGUCAAACCUAUUGAGGAGACUACAAACCUGAAAGCCAGAUUUCUAGAGAUAUGUGUUUCUACUGCUUCCUGAUCUAGGACUUCAAAAAACUUACAGAGAAUUGCAUUUUUGGUGCAAAAGAAGGCUCUGCCUCCUGGAUGGAGGAAAGUCUCAAGGAAGUUCACCUUGGUGAAAUCUCAGCAAGGUGUAGAGAAAAUUCAGGAAUGUCAUCCAGUUAUGAUACAAGGUAAGAGAUUUUAGAAGUUUGCUUAAAGAUCACUGCUUUGUAAGUGGCUUCUGUAUUCUCACUGGGAUUUUUUUUUUUUUC
rnacentral:lncRNA from 1 species